GGACGGCAUUCUAUAAAUAAACAGACUUUUCUACUAACUUGUGUUGCUUUUUGCUGAAGAGGUUAAAGAGCUUCACUACGUCCAUCAGUUGAUACCAGAAUCAAGAAGAUAAUCAUGAGAAACGUGAGGAAUGAAGAAUUUGGAAGAAAGUCGUUGAUUAUGGAGUGGAACUCACAGAUUUAGAUAAGUGAGCAGUAGAUUGGAGACAAGGAAUAUUAUAAUGUUUCUGACAGAGAAGAUAAGGAGAUCAAAUGGGAGACGAGAAUUCAAUAUUAGAAAGGACAAGGGCGCAAUAGAAGAA